CUGAGAGAGGCUCGCUUGAGCAAUUCGCGAAUACUUAUGUAGGUCGUUCCUCUCUACUGAUGUUGAUGAUGAAACAUCUCCACCAUCUGAUAAGAAAGCACCAUGCUCUGACCUUCUCAUACUUUGAUUUGCUUAGGACAAAAGAGAUGUGUGGCUGCAAUCUAUUAAUUUCCCGUUGCUCAACGUUUUUUUUAGUAUAUUCUUUAGUCUUAUUUAAGUAUUUCCUACGAAUACUUAUGUAGGUCGUUCCUCUCUACUGAUGUUGAUGAUGAAACAUCUCCACCAUCUGAUAAGAAAGCACCAUGCUCUGACCUUCUCAUACUUUGAUUUGCUUAGGACAAAAGAGAUGUGUGGCUGCAAUCUAUUAAUUUCCCGUUGCUCAACGUUUUUUUUAGUAUAUUCUUUAGUCUUAUUUAAGUAUUUCCCAACCCAUGUCUCCUAUCCCCUAUAGUUUUACUUCCAUUCAUCUACGUAAUCAGAUAUGAAUAGAGAUCUAACAAACAUGAGAUGGAUUAAGAAUUUUAUUCAUGUAUGACUGAUUUAAACCUUAUUUGAGUGGUCCUUUAUGCCCUCAUCAGGAAACAUACCUCCCUAAAGAAGAAAUUGAGAAGUUGCAUUCUGGGUGUUUGAUAAAAUGCCUAAGUGAAGCUAUCAUUCAUGUUUUGCCCCUAUAUCCAAACUA
rnacentral:lncRNA from 1 species